rnacentral:rRNA from 1 species
GAUGAACGCUGGCGGCGUGCCUAAUACAUGCAAGUCGAGCGAACGGACGAGAAGCUUGCUUCUCUGAUGUUAGCGGCGGACGGGUGAGUAACACGUGGAUAACCUACCUAUAAGACUGGGAUAACUUCGGGAAACCGGAGCUAAUACCGGAUAAUAUUUUGAACCGCAUGGUUCAAAAGUGAAAGACGGUCUUGCUGUCACUUAUAGAUGGAUACGCGCUGCAUUAGCUAGUUGGUAAGGUAACGGCUUACCAAGGCAACGAGGCAUAGCCGACCUGAGAGGGUGAUCGGCCACACUGGAACGGAGACACGGUCCAGACUCCUACGGGAGGCAGCAGUAGGGAAUCUUCCGCAAUGGGCGAAAGCCUGACGGAGCAACGCCGCGUGAGUGAUGAAGGUCUUCGGAUCGUAAAACUCUGUUAUUAGGGAAGAACAUAUGUGUAAGUAACUGUGCACAGCUUGACGGUACCUAAUCAGAAAGCCACGGCUAACUACGUG